AAACACCGAACACCGUGCCAAGAGAUAACUUGGUAUUUAUUUGCAUUUUAUUUUAGCAUAUUUAUUUUCCUUAACUGCAUUAGUAGUUGCAUCUUUAUUAUCUAUGCAUUAAAAAAGAAAAUAAAUAUGUAUUGCAUUGCAUCGCAUCUAGAAAAUUCUAAGCCCAUGUAUUUGAUAUGUGAUGCAACAGCUCACAUACUUAUCUACUGUAGAGGCACAAAAAUAGGCUUGAGCAUAUUUAUUUGUCCUAUCUGCAUACCAUAAAUCUGAAAAGCAUAAAAAUAUAUUGAUCUUGUUAAAAGAUAAAUGAGUAUAAGAAAGAUCUAGACUCCCGAAGCUUAGAGGUUUAUUACUAACAGUUAAUCAGUUCCACAAGCUUUGUUGUCUAUUGGAAGCUUCACAGAAUUUAAAGGAUCAAGAAGAACUAACAGGCAAAAGGACAUCCUGACCUCUAUCGGAGUACUAUCCGCACCAGGCAAGUGCUGCUUCUGACAGCCAGUACCUAGGACACUCCGGGAGGAUCACCAGGAGGAUCAGUAUGCCUUCACUACCCGUCAGCAACCUCACCAGACUAUAUCAACAUCCAGCUUGGGGGAGAGCAACCCCCCUACACUGAGCUAAGUAUCCCUUACUCGCUUAUCUAUUUAUUUCUAGUACGUUAUGAUAAGAUAAAAAGAUGACUAACUUUAGAAACUUAAUAAAUAUUUUAUCUUUCAUAUUUAAUCUCGCUACGAGAGCUUUUAAUGAAUCUGUUAAAAUGAACCUCUAGAAUAAACUCAUAUAUGGAGAUGAUGAAUAGUUGCUCUACCAUAAUUCCUUACAAGUAUCUAGUUUUAACCUUGUACUCUCCUAAGAUUUAGACAUAACUGUUUUCAUUUGAGAUUUGCUCUGGACCUAAAACUUGUGGGUAGCGAAUGCUUGAUCUAAGUCUAGGUAGUUGACGGAUAUGAUAUGGGAAGGUUUUGAGCUGCUAUCAAUCUUGCUCCUAGAGAUGCUAGAGUUCUGGAGAAUUUCAUUUUGAAAAUCUUAAAUUGCUACAUGAUGAGUUCCUGUAUGAUGCGAAUUUAAAAUUCCUACCACAACCAAAUACUCAUGCUUGCUAGAUUAGGAAACUCUUCCAUUUAUAUUUCAACCUAUAAGCAUUGAGGGUAGUUAACCUGUGUAGACCCUAAGGAACUAGUCAUGCAGUUAAAGUCAAUAUUAUGUGCUCUCCAUCCAUUGAUCUUAGCUACUUCUGUCCUUAGAAGUAUGCAACCACUUACAUCCAUCAUAUUCACUAUGUGCUACUUCUGUUCCUGGAAGUACCACCCACAUAUACGCACUACACUCUGUGCCAUUUCUAUCCUGGAGACACUCACCUAUGCUGCUUCUACUCUGGGAGUACGCAUUCACCCAUCCAUAUUCCACAUCUGUUUAGAAAAUGUUCUACUCCUGCACUAGGAGAAGACACCCAAAAAUAUUCAUUGCCAUUAUGUGUUAUUCUACUUAUCUAAUAAAGCUCCAGUUGUUUCAGUUGAUACUCCCUACUGUUAUCAGUGCAUUAAAAGGGUUGGCUGAUCUUAAAAAAAGAAAAAAAGAGAGAAAAGAAAAGAAAGAGGACAAAAGUCCCAAAAGAAAAUGAGAGACAACCAAGUCCUUAUUCUUAGAAUAGGGAGGUAUGUUGUCCCCAAUGAGUAGUUGUAGAAUUAGAUAUUCACCAUAAGUUAUCACCCCUCAUAACCACUUCUAUUAUCAUCGUCACUCCCUUCACUGCACUCACAUGCACAUAUGACUUGAUUAUGUAAUUAGUUUCUCUAGAUCCAUGGUUUAACUAUGCAAUACAUGCAAGUAGGUUUGAAUUGUCUUUCCCACCUAUGAGCUCCACAUAAGCCAAUUAGAAGUAGGGUGAGAGAGAAGGCAACUAUGUCUUAGUGAUACAAAUACCACAUAUUCUGAGAGCAGAUAGGCAUACUCACUUGCCUUGGAGAGGAUCCAAAAAUACCACAUAUGAGAGACUAGAAAGUGUCAUACAAGGAAACUCUGAGUUUUAUUUGAAAAUCUUGCAAAACUCUAGAAUAAUAGUUGAUCAAAGAGCGAGUAGCAUAGUGCUCGACUUAACUAUUUUGUCUUUCAACUGCCGAAGACCUAAGUGAUAGCUAUAAGCCCUAUGGUGAAAGGUAAAAUGGGUGAGUCUUGAGUCAGAAUAGUUCACUCUAAUCAGGAGGGGAGUCCUUGUUUGAAUGCUUGUGUACUUGUGAGUCCUGAUCCAUCACUAAGUCUAUCUUUGUUUAGGGGCGAGCAAAAGGUAAGCUUGGGGAAGUUUGUUGAUGGUAGAUAAGUACUCUUUUUAACCAUCAACAUAGCAUGAGAAAGGACUAAAAUCAGAAUACUAUCUAGCUAGGGGUUAUCACUAACAGAAUUCCACAAGUUUUGGUGAGUGUCUAUUUCUACAGGGGGUUAUCAGAAUAAGAACAAAAGGAGGUCCACAUGUCUGAUUUACAUAGAGAGAAUACGUGAAAUGUCAACUUAGGAAUACUCUAGAAGACUCGGAAAGACACUACCUGAAAGGUGGGGCCCACCUGCCAUAGGGCAGGGGCGGGCGCCCCACCUUGUUAGGGGUGGCCGCCCGGAGGAAUCCACCAUUCAAGGUGAACCUCGCGGAUCCUGCCUCCAUCGACUUUGUGGAUUAAUCUUAAGCGUACGUUUAAGUUGGUUUGAUCCAAGGGCUGUGGUGCUUCCUAGGGGGCUAUAAAUACAAGCCUGACCCCCUAGGAGGGAGAGAAUCAUUAUGAGUUGUAGAGGCGUCCCUCAAAUGGAUGAUCUCUCUUCUCUAGAGAAUUAGGGCUAGACAUUCCAAUGUAGUAGAUUAGUUCUAGUCGGGAGUUAGGGAGAGUGGAGCUACGCUCCGGUUCUGGAGGAGUCUUUAGAGUUUUGGUAUGUCUUUAUAUCUCUCUUUGUAAGACUUAUGCUUUAAUAUAUUAUCAUUUAUAUUUACUUUAUGCCUAUUAUUGAUUAGUGUAGUUGUUAUAUCUUGGCAUG
rnacentral:lncRNA from 1 species